UACGAGGGGGGCGAGCGUUGUUCGGAAUUAUUGGGCGUAAAGGGUGCGUAGGCGGUUCCGCAAGUCCUGUGUGAAAUCUUCGGGCUCAACUCGAAGUCUGCACGGGAAACUGCGGGGCUUGAGUGUGGGAGAGGUGAGUGGAAUUCCUGGUGUAGCGGUGAAAUGCGUAGAUAUCAGGAGGAACACCUGUGGCGAAAGCGGCUCACUGGACCAUAACUGACGCUGAUGCACGAAAGCUAGGGGGAGCAAACAGG
rnacentral:rRNA from 1 species